GAACAAAAAAGGUCAACAAAAAUAGUGGCAACGUACCAGGUCGCACCAUCGGGUUGCUAGGAGUAACACUUGCGUGCCCGCGGUCACCGAUUCGCUUGUUUACCAGGAGCAUGAUUCGGGACAUGAUUCUUGUCGCGCGAGGCUGUGGCCUUUUGUCCGACAAUUUGGUCCGGCCACUGCCAUGGCCCUCUUCCUUGCCUUCCACGCUGUUUUCUUCGUCUUUCCAGUUCGCUCACUGUCGGCACCUCCUCCACGGGUGAUUCCGUCGUAAAACCUCGUCCUCUGUGACAGCCACUGGCUGGCCUGUCGUGAUGAUGCUGCUGUGUAGCUGGCCUGACAAUGUGGCGCCCGGUCCGCUGCAGCAGUGACCAGUGAUCGACGGCGGAGUUGUUGGUUUACGCCAACGGGAAAUAAUGUCAGCAACACCCCAUUCAUAAGCCGCCGAAUCAAACGCUGGGCUUCAGCUUCACGACGCAGGACUUACAUAUGUACCCUACGCUUUGCCAUACCAUGUCGUAUCUGAUUUGCCCCAGCCAGACGGUCCCAUCCAAGCAUGAGCGAAGCGUUUUCGAGUCAUACCGAGUCUUAUCCCAGCCAGACAGAAUCGUAUCUCAGUAGCACAGAAGCGCACCCAUUGCAAGAUUCACACCUAACCAGCUAUCGUCAUCGUUCAACCUGGCCAUCGACAACAAGGACUUUGACUAUGGCAACCAAGGGAGGGGCUACGCGGUCUACUAGAUGCUAGAUACACGCAUCCAUUCAUUUAGAUAGUAACUAAAAAUGUU